CCUACGGGAGGCAGCAGUGGGGAAUAUUGGGCAAUGGGCGCAAGCCUGACCCAGCAACGCCGCGUGAAGGAAGAAGGCUCUCGGGUUGUAAACUUCUUUUUUCAGGGACGCAGCAAGUGACGGUACCUGAGGAAUAAGCCACGGCUAACUACGUGCCAGCAGCCGCGGGAAUACGUAGGGGGCAAGCGUGAUCCGGAUUUACGUGGUGUAAAGGGUGUGUAGGCGGGACUGCAAGUCAGAUGUGAAAACCAUGGGCUCAACCUAUGGCCUGCAUUUGAAACUGUAGCUCUUGAGUACUGGAGAGGCAUACGGAAUUCGUGGUGUAGCGGUGAAAUGCGUAGAUAUUAGGAGGAACUCCAGUGGCGAAGGCGGUCUGCUGGACAGCAACUGACGCUGAGGCGCGAAAGCGUGGGUAGCGAACAGGAUUAGAUACCCCUGUAGUC
rnacentral:rRNA from 1 species